GCGCUUACCACUUUGUGAUUCAUGACUGGGGUGAAGUCGUAACAAGGUAACCGUAGGGGAACCUGCGGUUGGAUCACCUCCUUA
rnacentral:rRNA from 15 species